CAGCCUAACAAACAUCAGUCCAGCCAGCAUCUCUAACACUUCUGAUGCUUUCUGAACUCUAGACCAGACUCAGACCAGACUCCUUCAUUUACACGAGCUCAAGAACAACACAAAGGAUGAGAUCUGCAGCUCUUCUCUCGAUCCUCUUCAUUCUGGCUCUCAGUGAUGGAGCAGACUGUCAGGACUUUAAUGAAUUCAGGCGAAAACACAUUCUCUCAACUACAUUUAAAACCAAGGAUGGACAUGUUUGGGCAAAAUAUUUAUUUGAAAAGGAACUCUGUGGAAGAACUGAAAUACAAUCUUUCAUCAAGAGCAGUGAGAAAAACAUAAAACAAAUCUGUAACGGCUCCGGCAGUGUUUCAGGGAACUAUACCAAAAGUACAGAUUUCUUUGAAGUGUAUCGUGUUAAAAGCUCUGUGGAAAUAGAUGGAAAGUGUAUCAUUACCAGUUGUACUUCAGGCAAAUAUAAUGUUUUCGUUAAAUGUGAGAACAGACAACCUGUGCACUAUGGACAUCAAAAGAUUAAAGAGAACACAUAUCCACAA